rnacentral:rRNA from 1 species
UACGUAGGGUGCAAGCGUUGUCCGGAAUUAUUGGGCGUAAAGAGCUCGUAGGCGGUUUGUCGCGUCUGCUGUGAAAACUCGGGGCUUAACUCCGGGCUUGCAGUGGGUACGGGCAGACUGGAGUACUGCAGGGGAGACUGGAAUUCCUGGUGUAGCGGUGGAAUGCGCAGAUAUCAGGAGGAACACCGGUGGCGAAGGCGGGUCUCUGGGCAGUAACUGACGCUGAGGAGCGAAAGCAUGGGGAGCGAACAGG